UACGUAGGGUGCAAGCGUUGUCCGGAAUUAUUGGGCGUAAAGAGCUCGUAGGCGGUCUGUCGCGUCGAAUGUGAAAACCCGGGACUCAACUCCGGGCCUGCAUUCGAUACGGGCAGACUAGAGUUCGGUAGGGGAGACUGGAAUUCCUGGUGUAGCGGUGAAAUGCGCAGAUAUCAGGAGGAACACCGGUGGCGAAGGCGGGUCUCUGGGCCGGAACUGACGCUGAGGAGCGAAAGCCAGGGGAGCAAACGGG
rnacentral:rRNA from 1 species